GCCGGGCUGGGCCGGGCCAGGGAGCCGAGCCGAGCCGCGAUGAAGAAGCCGGACGGGAAGGUGGUGCUGCUGGGGGACAUGAACGUGGGCAAGACCUCCCUGCUGCACCGCUACAUGGAGCGGCGCUUCCAGGAGACGGUCAGCACCGUCGGCGGCGCCUUCUACCUGAAGCAGUGGGGGCCGUACAACAUCUCCAUCUGGGACACCGCGGGACGGGAGCAGUUCCAUGGCCUUGGGUCCAUGUACUGCAGAGGAGCGGCGGCUGUGAUCCUCACGUACGACGUGAACAGCCUCCAAAGCCUGACAGAGCUGGAAGAGAGAUUCUUGGCACUGACAGACAGUGCAAGUGCUGACUGCAUUUUUGCUAUUGUUGGAAAUAAAGUUGACCUCAGCGAUGACUGUACUUCGCCACCGGAUGAAAAUAGAGCUGAGAAGUCUGGUGCCAGCUGUGGCUCAAAGGUGCGAAAACAAGUCCGUGCAGAGGAUGCGAUUGCACUCUAUAAAAAGAUACUGAAAUACAAAAUGCUAGAUGAGAAGGAUGUUCCAGCAGCUGAGAAAAUGUGUUUUGAGACCAGUGCAAAGACAGGAUACAAGGUGGACUACCUCUUUGAAACUGUGUUUGACAUGGUAGUCCCGAUAAUCGUACGGCAGAAGGCUGAGGGGCCGUCGCAAACCGUAGACAUCACAGACUACAAGCCAGCCAAAAGGACAAAAUCAGGUUGUUGUGCCUGAACCAUCUAUGUGACUAGAAAAGGGGAGGGAGUUUUCACUCCAGCACAAUGACAAAUAAGAACUGUUGGCAGAUGACCAGAAAAGAAAAGUCAAGGAAUAAAUAAACUAAAAUGGUGCAUGCAAAGGAAAAAACAACAACAAACAAAAAAAACCCCAUAUAAAUCUUCUGACCAUUAAAGGCUUCUGGGAAGCUCUGCGUAUAAAAAAAUAUGAAUGUGAAUGAAAUUAUGGAGCAAGACUUGCCAGUUUCCGUGGGCUCUGAAGGCAAAUGGGUCUGUGCAUCUCUGCUGACUGAGGAUUGUACCCUACUGAGGAGAAGAAGGUGACAAAUUUAAGCCAAGGAAUUAAAACAGCAUGUACUCGGAGAAAACCACAAGUGUGCUCUACUUCUUUCACAGCUGCCUGAGAAGCAGAAAUGCGUACACCAAACACUUCAUUCGUUUCACAAGCUGGCUGGGAAAAUGGCAAUUCUGCUCACAGUGUGUACCACAGUGCUGACAGACUGUCCUGGCAAAAAGUUCUUGCUAAGGUGACAACUUUGCUCUUAACAAUGCUCAGUGUUUACAUGGGGCUUUGCAAAUAUUUAAUUUAUUCUUGGCAUUCUUGUGAAGUAACUGUGAGAUUGGUAUCAGAGCUUUUUAUAGAAGCAAAAGAAAGGUCAAACAUAGGGAUGGUAAAAUAUUUGACCUAUUCUCUAAAAGUGUGGAGGUUUUUUCUUUUCUGUACCUACUUUUGGAUUUGCUUGUAUUGUAUUUUCUGAAAAAAUUUAAUUUUUUGGCUUUUGUUAUACAAAUGGUUUGUGGGUAAGAUUGAUUAUUGUUCUUUUAUGAUGUCUUCUGCCACAGAAAUCUUGUUUCUUUUCCAACACUGUUUACUUCAGGAUUUAGUCCAGCCUUCAAUAAGUGAACUGCAUGGACAUGCUGCUGCAGGUUUUGAAUCUCAUGUUCAUCAAGCAAAUCAGAAAAAUGAGCAUCUGUCAGACCAUUCACUGACAUUUUAGCUGCUCUUUACCAUGCUAAGCCCUCUGGUGCUCAUAUGAUCCCUCUGUACAGUUCUGCAAAAAAAGGUCAGGCGCUUGAGUAUGUCUUCUGCUUCACUCAGCACCAAGUUUUUCUGUAACAUCCCAUUUCCUAAUUAUAAGAUCACAAGAUUGAAGAGUUCCUGUAAACCAUGGGAUGUACAGCUCAGCUCUUAUUGCCAUCAGAAAUACAACACUGAAACUUAAUUUUUAAAACAACCAGAGGAUGUCUCUCUUUUCAGAGUAAGUGAAAGACUUUGGCUUCAAAAUCUUGGACCAAAACACCAGUGAUUUUUAAAUUUUGAAAAGAAGGGGAAAAGCGUGUUGUUGCUUUUCCUUUUUUCCCCCCUAGAUCAGCUUCUUAGUAGUGAUGUAUGUAAAUAACUCCAUAUCUUUAGCUGUGAAAAUGCUUUGUGUGCUCCUGUUGCACCUCAGUGUAAUUUUAUUUAAGUCACAGCUGUCCUUUUGUUCUGUUCUGAAGUGCUAUUUUGUACAUAAAGCAAGGUCUCCAGCUGCUACUCUGACAAGAGACAAUUUUCUCUGAAAUUCACAGAGAUUUUCAUCUUCCUCUUCUGCCUCCUAGAAAUUACUUUUGUAGUUCCCUGGUUCCCCAGUACGAUGCAUGGUUUUGGUCAUGCUGGCUCUGAAGCAGAGCAGCCUUACUAGUACCAAACACUCAAAUUUAAAACCCAUUGCUGUGCAAAACGUGACACUGGAGAC